rnacentral:rRNA from 1 species
CCUACGGGGGGCAGCAGUCGAGAAUCAUUCACAAUGGGGGAAACCCUGAUGGUGCGACGCCGCGUGGGGGAAUGAAGGUCUUCGGAUUGUAAACCCCUGUCAUGUGGGAGCAAAUUAAAAAGAUAGUACCACAAGAGGAAGAGACGGCUAACUCUGUGCCAGCAGCCGCGGUAAUACAGAGGUCUCAAGCGUUGUUCGGAAUCACUGGGCGUAACGCGUGCGUAGGCUGUUUCGUAAGUCGUGUGUGAAAGGCGCGGGCUCAACCCGCGGACGGCACAUGAUACUGCGAGACUAGAGUAAUGGAGGGGGAACCGGAAUUCUCGGUGUAGCAGUGAAAUGCGUAGAUAUCGAGAGGAACACUCGUGGCGAAGGCGGGUUCCUGGACAGUAACUGACGCUGAGGCACGAAGGCCAGGGGAGCGAAAGGGAUUAGAUACCCGAGUAGUC